AUUGAACGCUGGCGGCAUGCUUUACACAUGCAAGUCGAACGGUAACAGAUCUUCGGAUGCUGACGAGUGGCGAACGGGUGAGUAAUACAUCGAAACGUGCCUAGUAGUGGGGGAUAACUACUCGAAAGAGUGGCUAAUACCGCAUGAGAUCUACGGAUGAAAGCAGGGGAUCGCAAGGCCUUGUGCUACUAGAGCGGCCGAUGGCAGCUUAGGUAGUUGGUGGGAUAAAAGCUUACCAAGCCGACGAUCUGUAGCUGGUCUGAGAGGACGAUCAGCCACACUAGGACUGAGACACGGCCCAGACGCCUACGGGAGGCAGCAGUGGAGAAUUUUGGACAAUGGGCGCAAGCCUGAUCCAGCAUUGCCGCGUGCAGGAUGAAGGCCUUCGGGUUGUAAACUGCUUUUGUACGGAACGAAAAGCCCUGGGUUAAUACCCUGGGGUCAUGACGGUACCGUAAGAAUAAGCACCGGCUAACUACGUGCCAGCCGCCGCGGUAACAC
rnacentral:rRNA from 1 species